rnacentral:rRNA from 1 species
UACGUAGGGGGCAAGCGUUGUCCGGAUUUAUUGGGCGUAAAGAGCGUGUAGGCGGCCAUACAGGUCAGCUGUGAAAACUCGAGGCUCAACCUCGAGACGUCGGUUGAAACCGUAUGGCUAGAGUCCGGAAGAGGAGAGUGGAAUUCCCGGUGUAGCGGUGAAAUGCGCAGAUAUCGGGAAGAACACCUAUGGCGAAGGCAGCUCUCUGGGGACGGUACUGACGCUGAGACGCGAAAGCGUGGGGGAGCAAACAGG